rnacentral:rRNA from 1 species
ACUCAAAUGAAUUGACGGGGGCCCGCACAAGCGGUGGAGCAUGUGGUUCAAUUCGAUGCAGAGCGAAGAACCUUACCUGGGCUUGACAUGGAGGAAGUAGGACCUCGAAAGAGGGACGACUCGUUGAGUCGAGAGCCUUCACAGGUGGUGCAUGGCUGUCGUCAGCUCGUGCCGUGAGGUGUUGGGUUAAGUCCCGCAACGAGCGCAACCCUCACCCAAUGUUGCUACCAGUACGGCUGGGCACUCUUUGGGAACUGCCGGCGAAGAGCUGGAGGAAGGGGGGGAUGACGUCAAGUCCGUAUGCCCCUUAUGUCCAGGGCUACACACAUGCUACAAUGCGUGGUACAGAGGGCCGCCAACCCGCGAGGGGGCGCCAAUCCCAGAAAGCCACGCUCAGUUCGGAUUGCAGGCUGCAACUCGCCUGCAUGAAGGCGGAAUCGCUAGUAAGCGCAGAUCAGCAGGCUGCGCUGAAUACGUUCCCGGGCCUUGUACACACCGCCCGU